AGACAAUUUGGUUCCUAUCAGUGAAGGUUCCAAGUGGAGAUGACAGAUGAUGAAAAGAAGCAUCUUUUUGAUGAAUGAAGAAAGAACCAGGUCAGCUGAGGAGCGAGGAGACAUGAAAUGAAGCAAUGUAGUCAUGUUCAGAAGAAUAAUAUCUCAGCCCACAUGAAGAGGAGGAAUUAUUACACACAGCACAACAACAGGACAUCUGAUUAAUCUCUGCAGGAAACAGACAAGACACCUGCUGCUCUGCAGGAAAUCUUCAUUAUGUAGAUUUCCUGUGUGUGUAGCCAGCUCUGCUCUGAUUGGACAGAUUCCAAGCAACAGGCGUGACUCACCUGUAGCUGUUGGGAUGGACUCACCUGUCAUCCUACUUCAAGGCUGGUGUUAAUGGUACAGUUUCUCCAGCCGGUUUUAUGGGUCAGCCUGCUGUUUCCCCUCAUUUAGCUGAGGAUUUAUGAAUCAAACAGUCCACCCACUGAGGGUCGUCGCCACUGUGUCUCCAGUGUGAUUCAGCGGGACUGAAUGAUAUGUGAGACAGUGCAUUUUCCAGCCACCAGAGGGAGACAAACACCAGCAGCUAAUCAG